GACGAACGCUGGCGGCGUGCCUAACACAUGCAAGUCGAGCGGAGUUGACAAGAGGAAGUUUUCGGAUGGAAUCUUGCCAGCUUAGCGGCGGACGGGUGAGUAACGCGUGAGCGACCAACCUUGCACAGGGGGAUAACGGACCGAAAGGUUCACUAAUACCGCAUGAGACCACGGUGUUGCAUGACACAGGGGUCAAAGGAGCAAUCCGGUGCAAGACGGGCUCGCGUCCGAUUAGGUAGUUGGUGGGGUAACGGCCCACCAAGCCUGUGAUCGGUAGCCGACCUGAGAGGGUGAUCGGCCACAUUGGAACUGAGAUACGGUCCAAACUCCUACGGGAGGCAGCAGUGGGGAAUAUUGGGCAAUGGGGGAAACCCUGACCCAGCAACGCCGCGUGAAGGAAGAAGGUUUUCGGAUUGUAAACUUCUGUCCUUGGUGAAGAGAAGAAGACGGUAGCCAAGGAGGAAGCCCCGGCUAACUACGUGCCAGCCGCCGCCGUAAAAC
rnacentral:rRNA from 1 species